rnacentral:rRNA from 1 species
UACGUAGGGUGCGAGCGUUAAUCGGAAUUACUGGGCGUAAAGCGUGCGCAGGCGGUUAUGUAAGACAGUUGUGAAAUCCCCGGGCUCAACCUGGGAAUUGCAUCUGUGACUGCAUAGCUAGAGUACGGUAGAGGGGGAUGGAAUUCCGCGUGUAGCAGUGAAAUGCGUAGAUAUGCGGAGGAACACCGAUGGCGAAGGCAAUCCCCCUGGACCUGUACUGACGCUCAUGCACGAAAGCGUGGGGAGCAAACAGGA